rnacentral:rRNA from 1 species
GACGAACGCUGGCGGCGUGCCUAAUACAUGCAAGUAGAACGCUGAAGGAGGAGCUUGCUUCUCUGGAUGAGUUGCGAACGGGUGAGUAACGCGUAGGUAACCUGCCUGGUAGCGGGGGAUAACUAUUGGAAACGAUAGCUAAUACCUCAUAAGAGUAGAUGUUGCAUGACAUUUGCUUAAAAGGUGCAAUUGCAUCACUACCAGAUGGACCUGCGUUGUAUUAGCUAGUUGGUGGGGUAACGGCUCACCAAGGCGACGAUACAUAGCCGACCUGAGAGGGUGAUAGGCCACACUGGGACUGAGACACGGCCCAGACUCCUACGGGAGGCAGCAGUAGGGAAUCUUCGGCAAUGGACGGAAGUCUGACCGAGCAACGCCGCGUGAGUGAAGAAGGUUUUCGGAUCGUAAAGCUCUGUUGUAAGAGAAGAACGAGUGUGAGAGUGGAAAGUUCACACUGUGACGGUAUCUUACCAGAAAGGGACGGCUAACUACGUG